rnacentral:rRNA from 1 species
UACAGAGGUCCCAAGCGUUGUUCGGAUUCAUUGUGCGUAAAGGGUGCGUAGGCGGCGCGGUAAGUCGGGUGUGAAAUCUCGGAGCUUAACUCCGAAACUGCAUUCGAUACUGCCGUGCUUGAGGACUGGAGAGGAGACUGGAAUUUACGGUGUAGCGGUGAAAUGCGUAGAUAUCGUAAGGAAGACCAGUGGCGAAGGCGGGUCUCUGGACAGUUCCUGACGCUGAGGCACGAAGGCCAGGGGAGCAAACGGG